rnacentral:rRNA from 1 species
CGGUAAUACGUAGGUGGCAAGCGUUGUCCGGAAUUAUUGGGCGUAAAGGGAGCGCAGGCGGACGGCCAAGUCCUUCUUAAAAGUUCGGGGCUCAACCCCGUGAUGGGAGGGAAACUGGUGGUCUUGAGUGCAGGAGAGGAAAGCGGAAUUCCUAGUGUAGCGGUGAAAUGCGUAGAUAUUAGGAGGAACACCAGUGGCGAAGGCGGCUUUCUGGACUGCAACUGACGCUGAGGCUCGAAAGCCAGGGGAGCGAACGGGAUUAGAUACCCCGGUAGUCCUGGCCGUAAACGAUGAAUGCUAGGUGUGGGGGGUAUCGACCCCCUCCGUGCCGGANUUAACGCAAUAAGCAUUCCGCCUGGGGAGUACGGUCGCAAGACUGAAACUCAAAGGAAUUGACGGGGACCCCCACANCNGGUGGANUAUGUGNUUAAUNC